rnacentral:lncRNA from 1 species
UUUUUUUUUUUUCUGAGGUGGAGUCUCCCCCUGUCACCCAGGCUGGAGUGCAGUGGUGCGAUCUCAGCUCACUGCAACCUCCACUUCCCAGGUUCGAGCGAUUCUCCUGCCUCAGCCUCCUGAGUAGCUGGCAUUAUAGGCGCGCAAAACCAUACCUGGCUAAUUUUUUAAAAAAAUUAUUUUUAGUAGAAUUGGGGUUUUUGCCAUAUUGGCCAGGCUGGUCUUGAACUCAUGACUUUAGGUGAUCCACCUGCCUUAGCCUCCCAAAGUGCUGGGAUUAUAGUCGUGAGCCACCGCACCUGGCCACAAUUUCUUAACACCAUCUUAUAUCCAGUUCAUAAUUAAAUUUUUCUGAUUGUCUCAAAGUUCUAAUAAAGGAUCCCCCAAUGAAGGGCCCACGUUGAAUUUCAUUGUUUCAUUGUCUCCUGAAUGUCCUUUUUUUCUAUAACUUAUUUCCUCUCCCUGCCAUUGAUUCAUUAGAGAAAUGAGAGCAGUUGUCCCAUGGAAUGUCCUACAUUCUGGAUUUGACUGAUUGCUUUCUAUAGUGUCCUUUAACUUGUUCUCCUGAGGCAACUUCUUUGAACAGUUUCUGCUUUUAGUUCUUUUUGUGAUUAGCUUGAAAUCUCCAAAUGUGUUGUUACUUGAUUUAGAUACCAAGAUGAAUGCAAAUUUAGCUUGCUUUCCCAGCCUCCCUUCUCCCAACAUAAUUUGGUCACAAACCUCUGCUACUGCGCUGGUCCUCUCUGAUUUCAUACUGUGCUGGUCCUCUCUGAUUUCAGAAUAUGUCCUCUUUUUUUUUUUAAAGACAGGGUCUCACUCUGUCACCAGGCUGGAGUGCAGUGAUGUGAUUAUAGCUCACUGCAGCCUCAACCUCCCAGGCUCGAGUGAUCCUUCUGCCUCAGCCUUCUGAGUAGCUGGAACUACAGGCAUGCACCAAUGCACCAGGUUAAUUUUUAAAAUUUUUGUAGAGAUGAGGUCUUGCUAUGUCGCCCAGGCUUGGUCUCAAACUUCUGGGCUUAACAGAUCCUCCCAUCUCAGCCUCCAAAAGCACUGGGAUUACAGGUAUGAGCCACUGUGCCCAGCUGAUUGCAGACAACAUCUUAGAACCUCUAUUUAGUGUUCCAUCAACCGAGAGUUGAGGAUGUUUGUGCUUGGAUGGUUCCCUUCACCUGUUGUUCCUUUUUUUUUUUUAACUGUUUCUCAUUUAAUUUUUAAUUGGCAAAUAAAACUUGUAUACAUUUAUGGUGUACAAUAUGUUUUGAAAUAUGUAUAUGUUGCAGAAUGACUAAAUCAAGCUAAUUGACAUAUGCAUUACCUCAAAUACUUACUUUUGUGUGGUGAGAACACUUAGAAUCUACUCUCUUAGCAAUUUUCCAAGUAUACACCACGUUGUUAUUAACUUUAGUCAGCAUGCUAUACCGUAGAUCUUUUGACCUCAUUUCUUCUGUCUAACUAAAAUUUCUUGUCCUCUGACCAACAUA